AAUAAACCCCCAGUAGGAUACUGUCAGUUCAUCAUAUACCCUAUCGAAAAGGGUCAGAAAUGAGUCCUCUCUCUCUCAAGAUAUUUCACAAUCACUUUAAACUAGAAAGUGGGAUAUAUUUAUUGCCGCCGUUUUCACCUAUAUAAACUCUGAGCUAAAGCAACUGGAGAUCUGUCUCUAAUUACAAAGUUUACUUGUGUUCUUGGUGGUUUUGGCAGCCAUGAUGCCCUUUUACUAGAACAGAUCUUGCGAGUUUGCCAUAACUAACACGUUUUCAGAACAUAAGCUCAAAUUGAUUGUGAGGGUUAAACAUUCGCAUCUGAAGCAAGAUUCAGUUAAUUAGGUUACACAGAAGUUUAGAGUGAAGAAAGAAAGUCAAACGAGCCAAGAUCUAAAGAAAGUUACAGCCAAUUCUUUGCAUCCAAUGGAGUCAAAAGCUCCACUGUGAACCAUUUUUGCAACUAGCUAUAACUUCACAAAGUCACAGUCAAAUUUGGGCAUAUACCGCACCCCAAGUAGCUCUUUGGAGCCUAGGCAGCAUCUUUACAAAGAUCACCAUGACUGAGAAGCCAAGCAGCUUUUGAGAUACUUCAGCAUCAUGCCAACGAACUCCUACAAAACAAUACUCAGCACAAAUAUAUACUGAUGUCACUGAUGCAAUAUUCCUGUCCAACCUUUUAAGAUCCAACAAUGCAAGAUGCUUGGUGUGCUUUAAAAGAAUAUUUGUAUUGCCACUGUCCCAUUUCAGUUAAUUUGACAACUGUAAUGUUAGCUGGUCUCUGCAUAAGUUCCUGAAUAACUUGGGUAUCCUGAGAAACCAAAAGCUUAAAUAUUCUAGUAAUCAUGUAGGACAGCAUGCAAUACAUGCAAGCUUUCGGAAGUAGCUGGCACAGCUUUAUGGCUAAGAGUACAAGCUACGACACCCCCGUUUAAAAUCUCACCUCUGCCAUGAACUGCCCAGAUGACAUUAGCCAAGCCACUCUCAAACUUUUGCCAUCCAUUAUGGAGUGUAAACAGGGGCUACCACUGACCUAUGGUGUUAUUUUAAGAUGGCUGGGGUAGCAUAUGUAAAGUGUUCCGGACACUCUAAAAUACUAUAAAAAUUCUAAGAAUUAUUAUUAUUAUUAUUAGAUAUCAGAGUUAUUACCAGACAGGUUCUGGACAACAAUUACACAAGUGCCUUGAUUAAUGUGGACUAACCUGCUUGUAAAAAUUAAAUGCAGUUUUUUUAUUUUAAAAAAUGGUUUUUGACAUUUAGUCAAUUUUGGGCUUCUGACUUGCCACGAUAUGUAUACGUUUAACAACAUCAGGCACACAGCAGCACUGUUACCAUUGCUGAUACAUAUCCUUGCAGGAGUUAGUACUGCCUGGUAGUUUGAUGCCAAUAGAAGGCAUUGCUGGUUUAUACUCCCAUAGCACUAACAGUGCAUGGAAACAACCCCCAGAGAGUCUAUGUUUAACACCAGUGUUACAACCACUGCCCAAAUCUGUUUUGAUUUCUCGAGGUUGUUGAUGAAGCACUGACCUUUUAAGGUGGGUUACACAUCAAAGCCAGCCAAAUAUUGACCGACUUCUGUCUGAAGUAAAAGAGCACUUUUAAAGGUAUUUUAAUCUCAUUAUUAUUUCAAACCAAGAAGAUGGAUUAUUCACCUACACAUCCCUCUUAGAGGAGAUCCACAUACAUACACAAGGGUGUGAUGUUGUUUCUGAGCAGAUCUACUACCAAGAAGCCCAAGUGGCUGAAGGGGUAAGUGCUGGUUGCAAUAUGUCAAUGUCUAAUUGCAAAGUCUCCCACACUAAAGGUGACCACGUUAAAUAUUUGCUAAGAUAAUUUGCACCAUUUCUACUGAAUUUCAAUCAACAAUUUCAUGCUUUUAAUCCGAGCCUGUUCGUUUACUUAAAAUAAAUAAAUAAAGGACAGAAGUAAUUGGAAGAGGGAGCCUUAUCUUGCUCACACUGCUGAUAAUAAACUACUUAAGAUUUUUCUGUUCUAAAGUUACCUCUGUGCUUUUAAUUGGCAGCUUUCAUCUCUGGACUCCUUGGAUUUAGUAUUAAAAUGCCUUCUACACACAGGUUAAAUUGCACUAUGUAAAUGUUUUUUUUUUUAGCUUGAGAAGCUGCCAUGAAAUCAUGGCACAAGUAUACCCACGUACCGAAAGUCAACUCUUAUUAAAAAAUACCUAUAGCUGGAGCAUUUAUGCAGAGCUCUCUGGCCAGCAGAAGAAAAGUUUUUCCCAGGACGUAGACAUUCACCUGUGUAAGGAAGGGGGGAAAGGGUACUUUGAUUAUUAAGCAGCAAAAUUUACAAUGUCCUUGUACAGAAAUAAAACUGUGUCCUGAA